GCCUAGAUAGUUCAGUGGUCAGAACAUCCGUUGCUUAU
rnacentral:tRNA from 1 species